rnacentral:rRNA from 1 species
GACGAACGCUGGCGGCGUGCCUAAUACAUGCAAGUCGAGCGGACGGAUGGGAGCUUGCUCCCAGACCGUCAGCGGCGGACGGGUGAGUAACCCGUUGGCAACCUGCCUGUAAGACUGGGAUAACUCCGGGAAACCGGGGCUAAUACCGGAUAACUCUUUCCCUCACCUUAGGGAAAGCUGAAAAAUGGCAUUUCCCUAUCAUUUACAGAUGGGCCCGCGGCGCAUUAGCUAGUUGGUAAGGUAACGGCUCACCAAGGCGACGAUGCGUAGCCGACCUGAGAGGGUGAUCGGCCACACUGGAACUGAGACACGGCCCAGACUCCUACGGGAGGCAGCAGUAGGGAAUCUUCCGCAAUGGACGAAAGUCUAACGGAGCAACGCCGCGUGAGUGAUGAAGGUUUUCGGAUCGUAAAACUCUGUUGUCAGGGAAGAACAAGUACCGGAGUAACUGCCGGUACCUUGACGGUACCUGACCAGAAAGCCACGGCUAACUACGUG